rnacentral:rRNA from 1 species
CACGUAGGGUGCGAGCGUUGUCCGGAAUUAUUGGGCGUAAAGAGCUCGUAGGCGGUGUGUCGCGUCGGCCGUGAAAACCUGCAGCUUAACUGUGGGCGUGCGGUCGAUACGGGCAUCACUGGAGUUCGGCAGGGGAGACUGGAAUUCCUGGUGUAGCGGUGAAAUGUGUAGAGAUCGGGAGGAACACCGGUGGCGAAGGCGGGUCUCUGGGCAAUUCCUGACGCUGAGGCGCGAAAGCGUGGGGAGCAAACGGG